rnacentral:rRNA from 1 species
CACGUAGGGCGCAAGCGUUGUCCGGAAUUAUUGGGCGUAAAGAGCUCGUAGGCGGUCUGUUGCGUCCGCUGUGAAAACUCGGGGCUUAACCCCGAGCCUGCAGUGGAUACGGGCAGACUAGAGGUAGGUAGGGGAGAAUGGAAUUCCCAGUGUAGCGGUGAAAUGCGUAGAUAUUGGGAGGAACACCAGUGGCGAAGGCGGCUCACUGGACCGGUUCUGACGCUGAGGCGCGAAAGCGUGGGGAGCAAACGGG